GGUCGGUUAGCUCAGUUGGUUAGAGCGUCGUGCGUUGCCCUCGACAUUCCUUUGCUGAAUUGACAAUGAAGACUAACAUGCCACAGGUACUAAUAAUGCGAAGGUCAUGGGUUCGACCCCCAUACUGACCA
rnacentral:tRNA from 1 species